rnacentral:tRNA from 1 species
GCGUCCGUAGCUCAACUGGAUAGAGCAUCAGUCUUCGAAACUGGGGGCUGCAGGUUCAAAUCCUGCCGGGCGCACCA